rnacentral:misc_RNA from 1 species
UGAAGCAAAGCUGCAGAUAGCGAAUGAAGCAGCCAACGCCAUAGCCGCGAAAGCGCCCGUUGGUCCAGCAACCGAUCCGUUCACCGGCAAGCCAAGGCAGGCCGGGAAAUACCGGGCCAGCAUCAAGGGCGGAUUGCAGCGCGACAACGCGGGCAAGAUCGGUAUCGGCCAGACCCGUUCCAAAGAUCCGGAUGCAACCGGCGUCUAUGCCGAAUACGUCUGGCGCUUUCUCGAAUUUGGCACCAAGCC